ensembl:snRNA U2 U2 spliceosomal RNA
AUCGCUUCUCGGCCUUUUGGCUAAGAUCAAGUGUAAUAGUAGCUGCCGUGAUUCUGUUAAUACAAGUUAGAUUGUUUCUUUUCUCUGCUUAAAACCCUCCAAUGGCUUCCCAUGUCUCUUAGCAAAGCCAAAAUUUCUCAAGACUUAUGACGUGUGAGUGAUUCUGAACCUCU